rnacentral:rRNA from 1 species
AUUCUUGGUCAUUUAGAGGAAGUAAAAGUCGUAACAAGGUUUCCGUAGGUGAACCUGCGGAAGGAUCAUUAUUGAAAUAAACGUGAUGGGUUGUUGCUGGUUCUCUAGGGAGCAUGUGCACGCCUUGUCAUCUUUAUAUCUCCACCUGUGCACUUUUUGUAGACCUUUCAGGUCUAUGUUGCUUCAUUUACUCCAAUGUAUGUUAAUAGAAUGUUGUGCCUAUAUAAUAUAUACAACUUUCAGCAACGGAUCUCUUGGCUCUCGCAUCGAUGAAGAACGCAGCGAAAUGCGAUAAGUAAUGUGAAUUGCAGAAUUCAGUGAAUCAUCGAAUCUUUGAACGCACCUUGCGCUCCUUGGUAUUCCGAGGAGCAUGCCUGUUUGAGUGUCAUUAAUAUAUAUAUCAAACUUCUCUCUGUUGAGUUGUUUGGAUGUGGGGGGUUUUUUGCUGGGCCUCUUAAAAGGUUCAGCUCUCCUGAAAUGCAUUAGCAGAACAACUCUGUUCAUUGGUGUGAUAACUAUCUACGCUAUUGAAUGUAAGGGGCAGUUCAGCUUUCUAACAGUCCUUGGACAAUUCAUCAUUAAUGUGACCUCAAAUCAGGUAGGACUACCCGCUGAACUUAAGCAUAUCAAUAAGCGGAGGAAAAGAAACUAACAAGGAUUCCCCUAGUAACUGCGAGUGAAGCGGGAAAAGCUCAAACUUAAAAUCUGGCAGUCUUUUGGCUGUCCGAGUUGUAAUCUAGAGAAGUGUUAUCCGCGCUGGACCGUGUACAAGUCUCCUGGAAUGGAGCAUCAUAGAGGGUGAGAAUCCCGUCUUUGACAUGGACUGCCAGGGCUUUGUGAUGCGCUUUCAAAGAGUCGAGUUGUUUGGGAAUGCAGCUCAAAAUGGGUGGUAAAUUCCAUCUAAAGCUAAAUAUUGGCGAGAGACCGAUAGCGAACAAGUACCGUGAGGGAAAGAUGAAAAGAAUCUCUAGAG